CCUGCCCUUUGUACACACCGCCCGUCGCUCCUACCGAUUGAAUGGUCCGGUGAAGUGUUCGGAUCGCGGCCUGUGGGCGGUUCGCCGCCGGCGGGUUGCGAGAAGUCCACUGAACCUUAUCAUUUAGAGGAAGGAGAAGUCGUAACAAGGUUUCCGUAGGUGAACCUGCGGAAGGAUCAUUG
rnacentral:rRNA from 1 species